rnacentral:rRNA from 1 species
UACGGGGGGGGCAAGCGUUGUUCGGAAUUACUGGGCGUAAAGGGCUCGUAGGUGGCCAACUAAGUCAUACGUGAAAUCCCUCGGCUUAACCGGGGAACUGCGUCUGAUACUGGAUGGCUUGAGUUUGGGAGAGGGAUGCGGAAUUCCAGGUGUAGCGGUGAAAUGCGUAGAUAUCUGGAGGAACACCGGUGGCGAAGGCGGCAUUCUGGACCGAUAUUGACGCUGAGGAGCGAAAGCCAGGGGAGCAAACGGG